GGCGUGUACUGCUUGGCUGGGCCUUACUUCUUGGUGAGCCGGCGUGCCCUUUAUUGGUGUGCGUUGGGGAACCAGGACUUUUACCUUGAGAAAAUUAGAGUGUUCAAAGCAGGCCUAUGCCUGAAUACAUUAGCAUGGAAUAAUAGAAUAGGACGUGCGGUUCUAUUUUGUUGGUUUCUAGAGUCACUGUAAUGAUUAAUAGGGACAGUUGGGGGCAUUGGUAUUGAGUCGCUAGAGGUGAAAUUCUUGGAUUGACUCAAGACCGACUAUUGCGAAAGCAUUUGCCAAGGAUGUUUUCAUUAAUCAAGAACGAAGGUUAGGGGAUCGAAAACGAUCAGAUACCGUUGUAGUCUUAACAGUAAACUAUGCCGACUAGGGAUUGGAUGACCUCAAAAUUGAUGUGUCAUUUGGCACCUUACGAGAAAUCAAAGUCUUUGGGUUCUGGGGGGAGUAUGGUUGCAAGGCUGAAACUUAAAGGAAUUGACAGAAGGGCACCACCAGGUGUGGAGCCUGCGGCUUAAUUUGACUCAACACGGGGAAACUCACCAGGUCCAGACAUAACUAGGAUUGACAGAUUGAUAGCUCUUUCAUGAUUUUAUGGGUGGUGGUGCAUGGCCAUUCUUAGUUGGUAGAGUGAUUUGUCUGGUUAAUUCCGAUAACGAACGGGACCUUAACCUGCUAAAUAGCCAGGCCGGCUUCAGCUGGUCUCUGGCUUCUUAGAGGGACUGUCAG
rnacentral:rRNA from 1 species